AGUGAACGCUGGCGGUAGGCCUAACACAUGCAAGUCGAACGGCAGCACAGUAAGAGCUUGCUCUUAUGGGUGGCGAGUGGCGGACGGGUGAGGAAUACAUCGGAAUCUACUUUUUCGUGGGGGAUAACGUAGGGAAACUUACGCUAAUACCGCAUACGACCUACGGGUGAAAGCAGGGGAUCUUCGGACCUUGCGCGAUUGAAUGAGCCGAUGUCGGAUUAGCUAGUUGGCGGGGUAAAGGCCCACCAAGGCGACGAUCCGUAGCUGGUCUGAGAGGAUGAUCAGCCACACUGGAACUGAGACACGGUCCAGACUCCUACGGGAGGCAGCAGUGGGGAAUAUUGGACAAUGGGCGCAAGCCUGAUCCAGCCAUACCGCGUGGGUGAAGAAGGCCUUCGGGUUGUAAAGCCCUUUUGUUGGGAAAGAAAAGCAGCAGGUUAAUACCCCGCUGUUCCGACGGUACCCAAAGAAUAAGCACCGGCUAACUUCGUG
rnacentral:rRNA from 1 species